UGAUUUCCGGCUAUGAAGCCAUAGAUACCACCUCACUAAUUGAGGGAGAACAAAGAGGCAGCACUGUGUUCUAUAUACGGCCGGACUGCAAGAGGUCUCCCUGACAGCAGAGAGAACCUGGCGCAUUAAGGAUGUGUGGGGGAUUAACUCUGACUCUUUUGUCCCUGGCUGUGGGUCUGCUUCUCUGUGGACAAAGGACUCUUUGUCAACUCCUUCCUGACCUUUCUGAUCCUUGUGCUAGCUCAGCUACCCAGGUUCAUGAUAUUGACGUAGCCUAUUUUCCUCCCUCCCUACUCCCCCAAAAUGAGUCGCCUAGCGACAGUGGAGGCGAAGACAGGAAGAAAAGGGGAGCUACCAGUGAGAAUCGAAAGCUGUGGCCAAAUGGAGUCGUAUAUUACACCUUUUCAAGCAGAUUCAAUGCUGCUGAGAGGAGACAGAUACUGGAGGCAAUGAAGCAUUGGGAAGACCACACCUGCAUUAGAUUCAAGCACCGCUCAAACCAGCCGCACUAUGUCAACUUCUUCCCAGGAGCAGGUUGCUGUUCCUAUGUUGGGAGAAUUGACUAUGGCCGUCAACCACAGGGAGUUUCGAUUGGUCGUUUCUGUUUCAACUUUCACCCAAUUGUGCACGAGAUCAGCCAUGUUGUUGGUUUCUGGCACGAGCAGAGCCGACCGGACCGUGACGAAUACAUCGAUAUCAUCGAAGGGAACAUAGUCCCUGGUUAUGAGACAAAUUUCCAAAAGAUUCUGUCAUGGCGGAUUUCCUCAAGGAGUCGGUUACGACUACAACAGUAUCAUGCACUACGAUUCCAACUUUUUCUCUAGAAAUCCCUCUGUAGACACCCUCAGGGCAAAGGACCCGUCCAUCCCAGUGGGAAAGCUCGAGUACUGAGCAAGUUGGAUAUCGAACAAACAAAUCAAUUGUAUACGUGUGUACGAAAAACAUGCCCCCGCCCAGUGUGAUCCUUCUUCCUCUGCCCACACCCCCUCCAUUCCCCACCGUGCCCUACUCCUGUGUCGAGCAUUUGACGGCUCUGAAAGGAUCAUUCCAGUCUCCUGGCUACCCACUCUAUGAGCACAAUACGGACUGUGUCUGGAUGAUCAAGGUUGUCGAUGGUUACACAAUUCAGCUGAUAUUUGAUCCAAUUGAAUUGGAAAACACGCACCAGUGCGUCAAGGAUUACAUCAAAGUGUUUGAUAAUCUCCAUGGAAGCGGGGACGGCCAAGUGAUUUGUGCCUAUUACAAUGUCUACAAUUACAGACUACAAACAAACACAGCACGGAUACAUUAUCACAGUGACCAUGACAACGAUCAAUCACGCACACUCACACCACUCGUUGGAUUCAGGGCCUCUUAUAAAGUCGUAGAUAUCGACGAGUGUGUGUAUACACACUGCUCUCACAGCUGUCGCAAUCUUCCCGGCUCCUACGAGUGUCGAUGCCCUCGGGGCUUCUUCUUAUCUGCAGAUGGACAUAACUGUUUUGAGGUUGAUUGAGAGCAGCAACUAUGUCGCAGAAACUGGACCAUUAUUUCUCAAGCGUGAGUCAAGGCCAAGCUCUAGUGCCAGUUUACCAAGCUCUAGUACUGCCAGCCUGAGUACUGAUGAAAAGCCAGCAAAGUCACUACUGAAAAUGGCAACAAAGAACACAUAGGAUGUGAUCAUUUCGUCAAUGCUGGUGGACCCUGGGCUUCUCAACUGGCUUUGAUGACUGGAAUUGGAGACCCCACUCACUCUAACAGAGUCAUGCGUGCCCCUCUCCCAGUGAAACCACGGCGACGGUAUGUGUUUGUCAUAAAAUGCCCGGAUCUCAUCACUGAAGAAUUCCCUAUGCUUAUUAAUAUUGAUGGCACAUAUUUACGAAAGGAAGGAGUACAAAACACUUUCAUAUGUGGAGUGAGGACCCCUGAGCACCUGGAUCACGAUGACCUUGAGUUAGAAGUGGACUAUUCACUGUUUGACGAGUAUGCGUGGCCUAGUAUUGCACACAGGGUACCGGCAUUUGAAUCUUUGAAGUUGCAAAGUGCUUGGACUGGUUACUAUGAUUACAACACUCUGGAUCAAAACGCAAUUAUCGGGAGGCACCCUGUCAUUAAUAACUUGGUAUUUGCCAAUGGCUUUAGUGGCCAUGGCAUACAACAGUCACCAGCUGUAGGUAGAGCAGUUAGCGAGAUUGUUUUAGAUGGUUGUUCGCACUCUAUUGAUCUCAGUAGAUUUUCCUUUGAAAGAGUUGUGAAUGGUCAGCCAUACAAAGAAAAAAACAUUGUGUAAGAGAGAUUUUUUUAUACAUAUUCUUACGUCAAACUUCAUUCAGAUGUGUCUUUAAUUUUUGUGUGUAAUCUUCACCCUAACGGUUUGAAUUGGGAAUGGAAGUAGUUGAACAAUGCUGAGUGGACAUAAUUAAAGGAUUUCGAAUGCGAGGCUCUCGAAUUGUGACAUAAUUGUGACAUCAUUAUAGAUCGCAAACGAAACACACGCAAAGAGCUAUAGUGAUGACACACACUGUAUCCUUGCUGUUUACGUGACAUGCUAUACAUAAUAUAUCCCUUUGAUGAUUUCACUUC